UUCAAAAUCUGGGCGAGACGGAGAGGGAGACAGAGACGAGCAUGGAGGGUACGGCGAGAAGGGACGACAGUAGCUGCGAGAAGGACAGCAGUCGUGCAGCGGUUCUGCGACAUCGGCGGCGGUGGUGCUAUGUUUUGCCGGCGACAAUCAGCGAAGGAGGAGAGAGACGGGACGGCGAAAGCACCGCGCGGCUGCUCGACGAGUCUCGAACAGCAGCGACGGCGACUUAGCUCGCACGAACGACAGUCGCAGGCUGAUGAAACUCCGAGAGUGCAGCGGCGGCGACCCCGGCUGUGGCGACGGGCUUUCGGCAACAGCCGCUGUGAUUCAUGGCGGCGCUGCAUGCGGGAGAGAAGGAGAACGGCGGUGUUGGCAGAGUUUCGCGAGCAGGCAGAGGCGCGAUGGAGCUUGGCCACGACGGCAUCGUCGCUGGACCAUGGUGAUUAUCGCGGCUGGAGAAGCGGCGAAUAAGGAACAGACGACGGAGACUGGGAGAGAGAUGGAGAAGGGAGAAGAGACCGAUUUUGAGGAAUUGAAAGAGGGAGAAAAGAUUAGAAAUUUCAAUCCCAUUCUGGAAUCUCACGUAUGGAGAUUGGAUUGGAGUUAUUUUGAGUCCGGGCUAAACUAAUUAAGUGGAAGAUUUGGGCCAGUAGCUAGGAGCUUCACGGAUUGAAUUAAAGAAUCAUAUUGUUGUGAUAGAGUCGGCUGACCUUAUGAUUAAUGUACGAGGAUUUCAGAAUUUUCUAUGUAAUGUCGAAGGGUAAGAUCUAAUAUCACAAGGAUACAUGCAUUAUUUUAAUUAAA